GUGGGGAAUAUUGGACAAUGGGCGAAAGCCUGAUCCAGCCAUGCCGCGUGUGUGAAGAAGGUCUUCGGAUUGUAAAGCACUUUAAGUUGGGAGGAAGGGCAGUAAGUUAAUACCUUGCUGUUUUGACGUUACCGACAGAAUAAGCACCGGCUAACUCUGUGCCAGCAGCCGCGGUAAUACAGAGGGUGCAAGCGUUAAUCGGAAUUACUGGGCGUAAAGCGCGCGUAGGUGGUUCGUUAAGUUGGAUGUGAAAGCCCCGGGCUCAACCUGGGAACUGCAUCGAAAACUGGCGAGCUAGAGUACGGUAGAGGGUGGUGGAAUUUCCUGUGUAGCGGUGAAAUGCGUAGAUAUAGGAAGGAACACCAGUGGCGAAGGCGACCACCUGGACUGAUACUGACACUGAGGUGCGAAAGCGUGGGGAGCAAACAGGAUUAGAAACCCGGGUAGUCC
rnacentral:rRNA from 1 species